rnacentral:rRNA from 17 species
GGCGAUGGAUCCGGAGGAUCACGAAUUGAUGAUGAGCUCGGCGGAGCGCGAGGGGAAGCG